rfam:Asian citrus Psyllid, Diaphorina citri - Florida Strain, whole genome shotgun sequence.
GUCAGCGGUGAUAGCAUGCUCAAUGCACAAGUUCAUUGAAAUUAACCAACGUCGCGCGUGGUUACUAUCCGGAUGGGUGACCAUCUGGUCAAUCGCGUGCUGCUGGCU